UACAGGGGUCCCGAGCGUUGUUCGGAUUCACUGGGCGUAAAGGGUGCGUAGGUGGCGAGGUAAGUCGGAUGUGAAAGCUCGGAGCUCAACUCCGAAAUGGCAUUGGAAACUACCUUGCUCGAGGGUUGGAGGGGGGACUGGAAUACUUGGUGUAGCAGUGAAAUGCGUAGAUAUCAAGUGGAACACCAGUGGCGAAGGCGAGUCCCUGGACAACUCCUGACACUGAGGCACGAAAGCUAGGGGAGCAAACAGG
rnacentral:rRNA from 1 species